rnacentral:rRNA from 1 species
GUAAGGAAUAUUGGUCAAUGGACGCAAGUCUGAACCAGCCAUGCCGCGUGGAGGAUGAAGGCCCUCUGGGUUGUAAACUUCUUUUAUCUGGGAAGAAACCACUCUUUUCUAAGGGUGUUGACGGUACCAGUUGAAUAAGCACCGGCUAACUCCGUGCCAGCAGCCGCGGUAAUACGGAGGGUGCAAGCGUUAUCCGGAUUCACUGGGUUUAAAGGGUGCGUAGGUGGGCAGGUAAGUCAGUGGUGAAAUCUCCGGGCUUAACCCGGAAACUGCCGUUGAUACUAUCUGUCUUGAAUGUAGUGGAGGUGAGCGGAAUAUGUCAUGUAGCGGUGAAAUGCUUAGAUAUGACAUAGAACACCCAUUGCGAAGGCAGCUCGCUACACUAUUAUUGACACUGAGGCACGAAAGCGUGGGGAUCAAACAGGAUUAGAUACCCGAGUAGUCC